rnacentral:rRNA from 1 species
UACGGGGGGGGCAAGCGUUGUUCGGAAUUACUGGGCGUAAAGGGCUCGUAGGCGGCCAACUAAGUCGGAUGUGAAACCCCCAAGCUUAACUUGGGAACUGCAUCCGAUACUGGAUGGCUUGAAUCCGGGAGAGGGAUGCAGAAUUCCAGGUGUAGCGGUGAAAUGCGUAGAUAUCUGGAGGAAUACCGGUGGCGAAGGCGGCAUCCUGGCUCGCAACUGACGCUCAGACACGACAGCAUGGGGAGCGAACGGG